UGGAACUACAGAGAAGACAGUCACUGCUGCAGAAAUCACCCAAGGAAACAAGGAGAGAAAUACCCUGGCUUCUCCCUCCUUUCUACCCUCCAUUUUUUGCCAGUGUGUCUUCCUGGCCUAACCCAACCAGCUGGAAGUCUGAGACACAAGAGCCUGUGAACUGCAGCCUGCAAGGAUCAGCCAUCGUGAACUAAAACACAGCAGGCAAAGAGGGAGGAUGGAUUCAGGGCAAACAGAUCCAGGACCAGUACUGCACCUUUAGGGAACGAAUUUACACUUCAGCAUCGAGGUUGCCUUC
rnacentral:lncRNA from 1 species